AUAACUUGUGAAUAUAAAAAGAUAACGUUCUACACUGAGUACCAGUUAUAUUUGUCUCUUUCCUUGUCUUAAAACAAUGUGGUCAGUUUUGGUAGUGGUCUUUUGUGUUACAGGUAGCGUACAAGCGAUCAUUUCAGGUGAACCAACAAAAACAAAGCCUGGGUUUUGUCCACCUGUACCCCUGGAUACCGUCGGUAUUUGUGUUGAAGAAUGCAGCAGUGACGACGGUUGUCCGGAUAACAAAAAAUGUUGCUCAAACGGUUGUGGACAUAUGUGUUCCUUUCCAACCGGCGGAUUAAAACCCCAACCAGCAACCUGCAAAAUAGGAAAACCCCUAAUUAGCAUAUUGUGUGGUCCUAAUCGUCAAAGGUGUCCCGAGAAGUAUUACUGUAAUAUCGACCCAGCUGGUAGAUUUGCUGUUUGCUGUCGAAAAGUUUAAACUAGUAUGUCAGAAAUA